rnacentral:rRNA from 13 species
ACCUGGUUGAUUCUGCCAGUAGUCAUAUGCUUGUUUCAAGGAUUAAGCCAUGCAAGCCUAAGAGUAACUGAGACAAUAGGAGGUCUGCGAACGGCUCAUUAUAUCAGAAAUGAUCUACCGGGAGAAUUGCAGUGAAAACUGCUUGAAUGGAUAACUUCGCGAAAGGCGAAGCUAAUACAUGUACGUCACGUGACACAUUCCAUUCAACCACUGCGGGGAAACCCAAGGUGGGGAAUGUGGCUCGCGAAUGGUUGGUACAAAGACCGACGCCAGUAAUGGCAGUGUCGUAAAUUGAUGAAUCAAACCAUUCAGCAAAAGCGCACCUUUGGUGUGCGAGUCCCGACGAAUUUCUGCCCUAUCAGCUUUUGACGGUAGUGUAGUGGACUACCGUGGCGAUAACGGGUACGGGGAAUUAGGGUUCGAUUCCGGAGAGGGAGCCUGAGAAACAGCUACCACUUCUACGGAGGGCAGCAGGCGCGUAAAUUGCCCAAUGCCAAAUUGGUGAGGCAGCGAAGAGAAAUAGCGUCCCCGCCUCUUUGAGUGUGGGGUUCGCAAUGGGUGGUACGUAAACCCACCAACGAGUAACAAUUGGAGGACAAGUCUGGUGCCAGCACCCGCGGUAAUUCCAGCUCCAAUAGCGUAUAUUAACGUUGUUGCUGUUAAAGGGUUCGUAGUUGAAUUCAGAGUGGUGAAAGUUUGCUGCCUCGGCAGCUCUUCCUCACCACUCUGUCCUAGACGGGGCCGGAGUCUGCGGAAGCGUCCCUUCAGUGGUGACGUGGAAGCGGUUGGCCGAAGAGGCUAACAUCCCACAUGCAACGCAUGUCGAGACCGCCCGUCGUUAUCACUGUGAAGAAAACAGCGUGUUCAAAGCAGCCGCCUGCGGCUGGAUGAUAAAGCAUGGAAUGACAAAGCAUCGACCACUGGGUCAGUCUUUUGUCGGUUUUUACGACCCAACAUGGGUAAUCGGUUGGCGAAGUGUUAAUUUCCGUCACCUUGUGUGAUGGAAAGCUUCGUCGAACACGGGAUCAAUGGGGGUUGUCGGGGGAAAACGUAUCUGAGCGUGAGAGGUGAAAUUCUUAGACCGCUCGGGGACGAACUUAUGCGAAGGCAUUUUCCAAGUAUACCUUCAUCAAUCAAGAACUAAAGUGUGGAGAUCGAAGAUGAUUAGAUACCAUUGUAGUCCACGACUGCAAACGAUGACGCCCAUGGAUCGGAUAGCAUUUUGCUCUGAUGGGAUCUUUUCGGCACUGCUCCCCCUUCAACGCGAAAGCUGAGGCUAUGGUCUCAUGGGGGAGUACGUUCGCAAGGCUGAAACUUAAAGAAAUUGACGGAAUGGCACCACCAGGCGUGGAGUGUGCGGUUUAAUUUGACUCAACACGGGGAACCUUACCAGGACAGGACAACGGUAGGAUUGACAGAUUGAGAGUUCUUUCUUAAUUCGUUUGACGGUGGUGCAUGGCCGCUUUUGGUCGGUGAAGUGAUUUGUUUGGUUGAUUCCUUUAACGGACGAGACCCAAUCCGCUUACUAGGGGCACCAUCUACCGAAAGGUAAACGGAAGCGAGGGGAUUCGUCCCACUCGUCUUCCCAGAUAGUGCAUCCCCUUCUUCGCGGCAUUCCGUGCGCCUUAGCACGGUGGCAUUUUGGGCAACAGCAGGUCCGUGAUGCUCCUAAAUGUCCUGGGCGACACGCGCACUACAAUGACAAAGUGAAUGAGUGAAGCCUUUUUGGUCCUUCUUCGAAAGAAGUGGGGAAACUGAGAAAACUCUGUCGUGCUUGGGAUCGAAGCUUGCAAUUAUUCUUCUUGAACGAGGAAUGCCUAGUAGACGUGCUUCAUCAAAGCGCAUUGACUACGUCCCUGCCAUUUGUACACACCGCCCGUCGUUGUUACCGAUGCCAGUUGGAUAAAGGUUAACGGACUUGCGAUCCCUUCGAGGAUUGUGGGAAAGUUAACCCAUAUUUAACUAGUAGAGGAAGCAAAAGUCGUAACAAGGUAGCUGUAGGUGAACCUGCAGCUGGAUCAUU